rnacentral:lncRNA from 1 species
GAGCCCGUGGCAGUGCUCCCUGCUGGCGCCUCUCGAAGUCUUGGCAGACGACCCACCAUAGCAGACGACUCCCCGGGCUUUUCACCAAUUGUUUUGAUUGCGCCUGUGCCAGACGACUUCAUGAGGCGCCGGUCGUGGGCACUCAGCAGAGUGAUGCCAUGAGCUAUGUGUUCCCACUUGCAGUGGCCAUGCCUGUAUGUACAUACAGUUUUGUACAUUGUUUGAGCGAGAGCUCCAUUUUGUCAAAACAUUAAGAGAGGAAGGCCCAGAAUACAGUCAACUUUAACUAAAGCAUGUCCUUUGGUUAGCCUAUUUGGUCAGUGGCAUUUAACUUCCACUUAUUGUUUCUGAAGGGUGUUAUGGAUCCAAAUAAAUGCCAAAGUCUAUGCCACACAAAAUAUUUCUUUGUGAGACGGCUCCUAACUGCACAGUUAUGCAUCCCAAUUUACACAUUGAAAUAUCUUCAAGACCAGCAAGCUAAGAAAAGAAAAAAAUGUCACCAGAGUACUUGGCAAGCUAUUCAUUCGAAGUGACAGACCUGAAUGAACUUUUGUCAAACGGGGCUGCUCUGUCCGGCUCGAAGCUUCCCUCAUACACCACCUUGUGGGAUGCAUGGUGUUUUCCAAAUCUACUGGUCUUUAUGGAUAAAUGUUCUUUGGCAUUUCUACAUCUAAUGACAAAUUUCAAAAAUCAGGAUUUUUAUCCUAUCGAAGGAGUGUUUCUUCGUUUUCUCAUCAUUCCUUCUUCUGCCCCACACUAAAAUGAUCAGCAAAUCAGUUUGCACUUGCAGCACGAAGUUCAUUUUGUGCUGUGAAGCCAGUUCAGUUUUACAGUUGACGACUUGCGUAACUUAGCUUGCAAAGAGUUCAUAAUGGUAGACCAGACAUGAGUGAAGCAUUGAGACGCAUUCUCAGGUCACAGUCAUGCCUUUCCAUCUCAGCACAUUUAUAUUUUUCAUGAGAAAAGCAGUGCCUAAUAGUACGUGUAGAUGUCUUUAUUUGUAUGUUCUUCUUGUGAAACUGCAUGAAAGGUUCUUUCCAGUCAGACUGGAAGUGGUUUGAUCCAUAAUAUAGCUUGUCAAUUAACCUAACUUAUUUCUUAAACUGUAGAGAAAGUAUUGCCAUGUCCAAAAUGCAGUCUCUGCAAGUAGUCUUGUUCAAGUUCUCAUCCUCAGAUUAGAGCAUGCGCUGCCGAAGACAUGCUCUUUCAUCAGUUGAUGAAUAAGCUUCUCCAUGCAAAAAAAAAAAAAAAAGUGAACCAUGAGUAUGGUUAUGAAAAUAAAGAGUAGUAGUAGCAGUACUAAUUCUAGCCUCCCUACCAUCACUGCAUAUGUGCUAGUAUGUGCUGAAAGAUGGUCACGUAUGUUUGAAUGGUAGUUGUGGUGCAUGUAUUCAGGUGAGGUGGGCACCAAUUAAUCAUGCUGUGCAGUGUUGCAAUCAAUGUGCAUUGGAGCCUGCCACCAGGUAGUGGUGCUUCAACAAAAAAAUUUCAUCACUACCUAGGCUGUAGAGGUGUCUCCUGUUGACUGGCGUUUUCAACCUAGUGACAGCAGCACGUGUAUAUGUUUGGACAUAGUGUGAAUCACGUUAUUCCCUAGCCAUGUGAAAUACUUCUCAUGUGGUCUUGUAAUGCAUACAGGGCACCAUUCAACAAGCAUAGUGUGGCUGUUUCGUACAAAUACAUGGUCUUUGUAUAAGCCGUAUCUGGCGUUCCAACAUGGCAAGUUAUCGUUGCUCUGAAGUUUUUUACUGAUAAAAAAGAAGUCAAGGAAAUGUAAUUGUUCUGUGACUGUAGAAGAGCCUUUACCAGUACUUGCCAAUUGAACUUUUGAUGUGCUGAGUGUGUGCUGGCAAGAGCACUGGGACGCUUGGUGUUUGGAAAAGGUGCCGUUGUUAUCAAGACUGUUGGCAGGCAGAAAUAUGUGUUCAAAACAAUGGCAUUCUUCCAUUGAAAACAAGAAAUAUUCCAGUCUUGAGGCUUGGCUCGAGUUCAUUAAUAAUUGCUCGUAAUAGAUUAGGGAGAUCAUCAUAUACUGUGAAGUGCAGCAUCAUGCCCCCUGCCUAAAUACUUUUGUCAACACGGAGGGGAAAAGUUUUUCUGUGUUGUUACUGUUUGUGCUGGCUUUAUCAGUAACCUUUGUGCUGUUACAGAUGUCUCCAUGCUGCCUGCGAAAUGUCUAAGAAGUUUGCUUCAGGCUUUGCCAGAAAACCAGCUUUCACAGAAAGCAUUCACUUGUUUGCUCUGUUACGUAACACAGUUCGGUAUAAGAUUGGUUUAGCAUGGCGGCAGCGAUAUGACUGUUGAUGUGACUCUUGUCUGGAACAAGUAUAAUGGCUAUUUCGCUUGCAGCCCCGUCAUCUUACCAUAGCAACCAUGAGAAAAAAACUGUUUUACAGUAUUCACUGAGCUGUAAUCGUCAGGAUAAAGAAAAUGACACUGCAAUGUACAGGCAGAGAAUCAUAAUGUAAAUUAUGCAGGAGAGCCGACUCUGGCAUCCACUAAUGCGUUUGCUGUUCUGUUAUUGAUGCAGAGGACACAAUUGCACUUGGCACACGUAGCACACCCCCGCCAUGCUCUGCCCCCGCUGCUCACCCUCUCCACAACAGGCCUUUGGCAAUGGUUCUCCCCUACUUCUCCUGGCUGCUGGCGCAAAUACAGCACACCCCAUGCCAUUAAAAUUGUAUAUUAAAUCGGCAGGCUCUUAUGCAGUCAAGGAGGUCUGCAAAGUAGACAAGAAUUGAAUGAAGCUGCAUGUUGGUUCGAUUUCAAAAAUGCACUUUGCAUUGCUCAAUUGUUGGAUAAGUUUUGCAAGCUUAAAUCGGUUACUUUCAUCUGAUACCGACUUGUCUCAAACUGUUGUCAUGCUACGCAGUUGUCGCGGUACACUGUAUUGUUUCUGUCAUGGUUUGUGUUUUGACAAACUCGAACGUGAUUUCUCGUCGGGCAUGUAGUGAUUUUAAGUUAAGAUUGUUUGAUGGUGGAUUAGAGAACUCCUGAACACUUCUGUUCUCGGAUGACAGUGCAGGCAUGGCAAAGGAAAUUAUAAAUUUCCUCUUCUUGUCACCUAUGCGCAAAGGGUUGUUUAGUUAGUGAAACAAGGACGUUCCUAAGGACAUAGCUGUAAAAGUGAAUGUUGAUGCAGGUUUAAUUUCUGGUUAUAGUGCAUUUGUUGUCCCAUUUCUUUUAUGUUUUAAGUGCUCAGUACUGAGAUGUUAAACAUCCACACAUGUUUUUUUCGUUUGCAAGUAAUCAUUGUGUCACGAUAUGUACAUGAUAUAUGCAUGCAGAAAAUCUAACAAAAGCGUAGAUAUCCCUGAUGGUUUAAUUGCUGCUAAUAGUGAGAACAGGCUGUGGGGUGGAGAUAGCGAGAGCUUAACAUGAAUACUUUGUGUGGAUUUUGAGUGAUAAGAUUUAUCCACAAUGAUCAUGACAAGUGAAUAUCCACAGCUAAGCAUCUGCAGUGGAAGCUGAAGCAGACGGCAAAGGUUUAUGUAAACUGAUGUGCUGGAGACGACGUACAGCACACUCGUCUGUAGUUGGAGGUGAAACAAACAAAGGGGGAGAAUGCGAUGACUGUGUUUGGUGACACAGUGGUGAACAAAAUGCACCAAAUCUAGCAGCUGGUGCAGAGUAGCACCAAGUGUCGCCAUCUGUACAAGUUCCAAAACGGCCCUUUUGCCUCAUCAAAAAGGAAACACUGCUGUCAGAUUGGUUGGCUCUCCCAUAUAUAUUUUUCUUGUAUAUCUUACUCUGUGCUGAAAACACAGUUCAGUCAAGCUAAUAUAUAGCAUGGGAUUCUGCAUGUUUUUAGAAAUCUAUCUAGUUUGUGAGUUAGCUUCAGUGACAGAAACACAAACUGGUGGAUAAGUUAACCUCAGAACUUUGCAGUUUCAUAUUGUACUUUUGUUGAAGUAGUAAAAUAACUGUCACAGAAAUGUGGCAAUGUUCUCCACUAGCAAAUGUGGUGCAUUUCUAACCUUUAUAAAAAGCUGUGUUUAUUUAAUUUUUUCGUAUGUUAGAGUGAAGCAGUUUAUAAAUAGGGUUCCAUGCAUUUUUCGUGUCCGUGAACAAAUCUGUGUGAGCAAGAACUAUCAUUAGCAAUGGCUCGUGCCACUGCUUGCGUGGGCGUUGUUGUCUUUUACCACAGCUGGCUCAUUAGUGCCCCCUCGGCAUAACUGUGCGAACGCGUUCGUACCACUGCUCUCAUGUUCAUCGUUGUCUUCUUCUACAGCUGGCUAUGUUGCCAUUCAUCAUGCCAACAUUCCCAUACUGCCCCUUCCUCUGCAAAGGCACUGGCCCACUCCCAACUGGUGCAGUGCUUUCAGUCUCAAAUUCUUUGCCUUAGUAUAUCACGAAAUGGAAACACGAAUCUAUAUAACAAAUGUAUAAGACAAAUGAACACGGAUGUAUAAAAAUAAAUGUGUGUGCAUACCUUUCGUCACGAUGACCAGCAACCAAGACAGUAAAUGUGUUCAUACCUUUGUUCAAAAUUCAGUGUCGCCUGUUUGUCGGGUGCUACACAGCUUCGCUGGUCAUCUACCUUUAUAGAGUGAAAUGGUUCAAGAUUAUUUUUUUCAUUUUAUAUCACUAUAAUUGCUUUAAUUCAUAUUGAAUUUCAUAUUCUUUGUGUGUUGAAAUAUCAGUUGAUGGUUUCAUUGUGACGCAAAAAAAUUCAUAUUUAGUUUAAUAGGUGAGUGUCUGAUGCAGUGUUAAAUACAAAGAGUAAUUCUACUAACUAGUCAUAAUAUCAAAAUUUCAUGCCAAAUCCAACCUCCACAUAUUGCAAGCAAGAAUUUGCAUGCAUAGAGCGAUAGGAACUUGUGUGAGACAUGUACCGCACUGCUGCCAAGACAGUGAUGUGUUGUUUGUGUAGCCCAAGGUUAUCAUGUAUUUUGCAGACAAGUGUGGCAAGUCUUUUUGAUUGCCAGGUAUAGCACACUAGUUCAGUUGUGUAACGCCUCACUUGAAUCGCUUUCAUGUGCUCUCUGUGACUUUGCAGGGUCCUCACCAUUGGGGUCACUGGAGCAGUACGAGUCGCUCGUGUCUGUGCACAGCCGGCUGCAUUCCUGCCGGAUGUGCCCUUACAAGACCAAGAAAAGGGCGCGCAUGACGACUCAUGUGCGCACACACACGGGUGAGCGCCCCUUCAAGUGCCAUCUAUGUCCAUGCGCAUUCACUCGGAAUUGCCACCUGAAAGAGCAUCUGCGCACCCACACAGGAGAGCGUCCCUACCAGUGCCACCUAUGCCCUUGUGCAUUCACUCGAAAUUCCCACCUGAAAGAGCACCUGCACAGCCACACAGGAGAGCGUCCUGUGUCGCGGAAUAAACUCUUAGUCCACAUGUUUUGUCAUGCAGGGGAGAAGCCCUAAAGGUCAGGGGUUUUCAUAUUUUUUUCUUUUUUUUGUAGCUGAACCGAUUGAUCGAAUUCUUUGUGGCACUAGGCGAUUUCUAUACUGCAAUGAGAGGUUUCCUGCCCCUUCAGCCAUAGAGUUCCUUGUAAUUUUACCUAAGUUCAGCUGUCACGACUGUCUGUGAGAACUUCUUUUCUUUCCUGUGACUUCAUAGCUAUGCCAGCAUAUCGAUGGUAUGGAUUGUCUUGAAUGCGGCUUGGCCUGAAAUGUGCUCAUGACUGUGUAAAUAGGUUUGUCUAUAUUAUUUUAGCAAGGGAAAAGAAAGUAAACAAAACAGAAACAUAAUUGGAACCAGGGCAGAGUAGCAUGUGCCAAGUUCCUCCCCUUGUCGUUUCUGAUGUGUCUACUACCUCUAGGAUAGCUACGCCAGACCACACUCCAGCCUAUUCUCUUCCUCUAGGACAGAGGGGGAGAGAGCAGCACGUACAUAAGAAUUGCUUCCAAGAAAAUCUGAUGAUGACAAGUCUUGUCAAAAUGUUCGCUUAAAGCGUCACUCCUUGUUCUGCUAAUCCUGAUCACUUUAAAUUUCCAUCUUUCUUUCAACUUCUGUCUUGUUCAAAACUAUUUUCAAAGUUAGUUUCAAACAUCACCAGAUUGCUACCUUGUUAGUGCAUUUACAUCUUGCCUAGUGUCGGGGCUCAUUUGUUCCAGCAGUCCAGGUAACUACGUGAUUUUAUUGCAGCAGCAGUUAAAAUCUCUAAACUUGUGUUUGCUGUGUCCAUGCAUCUUGUAAAGAGCUGGAAGCAGUGUGUGUGGCUUCCUCGACCAUUUCUUGAAAUUUUAUAACAAAAAGCGUAAUGCCGCAUUCUCUAUAUGUAAAUUGUUGGAACCAAGCCAUAUAAGCUUAUUCUUUCUAUCUAGCUUCACACUUAUAUGGAAGGAAACAGCAAGAACUGCAGAUGGAAGGGUGACACCCUUCACAACGUGGUCAUGGGGUAUAUGUGUAUCGUGUACGUGUCAGUGUGUGAUAGGUGUAGCCAGGCUUGCAUUGUGACCAUGUACUCAAGUUGUACCUUGAGUACCAUGAUGUCCUGCAUGAUCUUGCAGCUGGAUAUUUGACAUAGUAAGCUGCUUUUGAAUUAUGCUCCCUUUUUUCUGGUCUUAAAAAUUGCAUAGCCAUAGCUGUCCAUGAGAGGAAAUUUUGCUGCUGCCUCUUAAAACAGAAUAAUUUGAUUAGUGAUCUGCAAACAAAAGUAACAGUUGUUAUGUGUGUUCUUUCCUCAUUUGAACAUUGGCCCUGUAUGUGUUAUGUGUUUUGGGACUUUAUGUAUAGUAAUACAUUUUUUAUUGUAUAUUAUGUCCCAAUUGUGAAUUUGGUUCCUUGUACUGCAUUUAUUUUUAUGUUUAGUAACACUGGCAUUCUUUAAUUGUCAUUACUUUAGUACUGCAAUGUGUGCCUAGUAUCACUUUUUCUCUUUUACUGUUUGAAAAACCUGUAUUGUUUACUUUAGUGAACAUAUUUCAUAUGCUGCUGUUGUAUAAAGUUAGCGUCACAAUAUGCUUCUUAUUAAAAGUGGCGAUUGUCA